AAAAAAAUAAGCUAUUAAGGGCUAAUGGUGGAUGCCUAGACUGUAAGAGGCGAAGAAGGACGUACUAGACUGCGAAAAGUCACGAGGAGCUGUCAAGAAGCAUUGAUUCGUGAAUAUCCGAAUGGGACAACCCAAUAUAUAGAGAUAUAUAUUACCCAGUAAUGGGGGCUAACGUGGUGAAGUGAAACAUCUCAGUAACCAUAGGAAGAGAAAUCAAAAGAGAUUCCCAAAGUAGCGGCGAGCGAAAUGGGAUUAGGGCAAACCCUAUGCUUGCAUAGGGGGUUGAAGGACCAUAAAAUGAGACUAAAGAUAAUAGUAGAAAUAUCUGGAAAGGUAUAGCAAAGAGGGUGAAACUCCUGUAUACGAAAUUAUCAAUAGCUCUAAUGGUAUCCUGAGUAGGACGGAACACGUGAUAUUUUGUCUGAAUCCGGGGGGACCACCCUCCAACCCUAAAUACUACUUACAGAUCGAUAGUGAACAAGUACCGUGAGGGAAAGGUGAAAAGUACUCCAGCGAGGAGAGUGAAAUAGAACCUGAAACCAUUAGCUUACAAUCAUUCAGAGCCCUAUGUGAAUUUAUUCACAGGGUGAUGGACUGCCUUUUGCAUAAUGAGCCUGCGAGUUGUGGUAUCUGGCAAGGUUAAGUCAAGUACGAAGCCGUAGCGAAAGCGAGUCUUAAAAGGCGAAAAAGGGCACCCAUUAGAAGCUUGCUUCUAAUGGGACCCGAUAUAGUCAGAUGCUGCAGACCCGAAACGAAGUGAUCUAUCCAUGGGCAGGUUGAAGCUGGUGUAAGAGCCAGUGGAGGACCGAACCGAUGGGCGUUGAAAAGCCCCCGGAUGACCUGUGGAUAGGGGUGAAAGGCCAAUCAAACUUCGUGAUAGCUGGUUCUCUCCGAAAUAUAUUUAGGUAUAGCCUCUAGUAGUAGCAUGUAGGGGUAGAGCACUGAAUGGGCUAGGGCUGCUUACCGCGGUACCAAACCCUAUCAAACUUCGAAUACUACAUGUGUAAGCUAGGGAGUCAGGCGUAGGGUGAUAAAAUCCUAUGUCGAGAGGGGAACAACCCAGACUAACAGCUAAGGUCCCAAAGUUACAUCUAAGUGGAAAACGAUGUGGAGUUACUGUGACAACCAGGAGGUUGGCUUAGAAGCAGCCAUCCUUUAAAGAAAGCGUAACAGCUCACUGGUCUAGUGAUUCUGCGCGGAAAAUAUAACGGGGCUAAGAUGUACACCGAAGCUUUAGAUUCAUAAAAUAUUAUGAGUGGUAGGAGAGCGUUCUAUUCAGCGUCGAAGCUGUACCGGUAAGGAGCAGUGGAGCGGAUAGAAGUGAGCAUGCAGGCAUGAGUAGCGAUAAUUAAGGUGAGAAUCCUUAACGCCGAAAACCCAAGGUUUCCUACGCGAUGCUCGUCAUCGUAGGGUUAGUCGGGUCCUAAGUCGAGUCCGAAAGGGGUAGACGAUGGGAAAUUGGUUAAUAUUCCAAUACCAACAAUUAAGCGCGAUGUGGGGACGCAUAGAGUUAAUCGAGCUCACUGAUGGAAUAGUGGGUCGAAGGACGUAGGUUGUAAUUUAGGUAAAUCCGGAUUACAAUAGACCGAGAUCUGAUAGGCUGAACAAUCUCUUCGGAGAGCGUUUAGAAUCGAUGAUACUGUCGUGCCAAGAAAAGCCACUAAGUAUAUUAAUUGUUGCCCGUACCGUAAACCGACACAGGUAGGUGGGAUGAGUAUUCUAAGGCGCGUGGAAGAACCCUGGUUAAGGAACUCUGCAAACUAGCACCGUAUCUUCGGUAUAAGGUGUGCCUACUUUGGUAUAGAGAUUUACUCUCAAAAGCCUAAGAGGUUGCAACAAAGAGUCCCUCCCGACUGUUUACCAAAAACACAGCACUUUGCUAACACGUAAGUGGAUGUAUAAGGUGUGACGCCUGCCCGGUGCUCGAAGGUUAAUUGAUGAUGUAAGCGUAAGCGAAGCAUUUGAUCGAAGCCCGAGUAAACGGCGGCCGUAACUAUAACGGUCCUAAGGUAGCGAAAUUCCUUGUCGGUUAAAUACCGACCUGCAUGAAUGGCGUAACGAGAUGGGAGCUGUCUCAACCAGGGAUCCAGUGAAAUUGUAGUGGAGGUGAAAAUUCCUCCUACCCGCGGAAAGACGGAAAGACCCCGUGCACCUUUACUACAGCUUGACACUGUAGCUUGGAUAUUCAUGUGCAGGAUAGGUGGGAGGCUUUGAUUACUAGACGCAAGUAGAGUAUGAGCCACCCUUGAGAUACCACCCUUGAAUAUUUGAGUUACUAACUGCGUACAAUAAACUUGUAUCAGGACAAUGUCUGGUGGGUAGUUUGACUGGGGCGGUCGCCUCCUAAAAAGUAACGGAGGCUUACAAAGGUUAGUUCAAGGCGGAUGGAAAUCGCCUGAUGAGUAUAAUGGCAUAAACUAGCUUGACUGUGAGAGAGACAACUCGAGCAGAGACGAAAGUCGGUCAUAGUGAUCCGGUGGUUCUGAGUGGAAGGGCCAUCGCUCAAAGGAUAAAAGGUACGCCGGGGAUAACAGGCUGAUCUCCCCCAAGAGCUCACAUCGACGGGGAGGUUUGGCACCUCGAUGUCGGCUCAUCGCAUCCUGGGGCUGGAGCAGGUCCCAAGGGUAUGGCUGUUCGCCAUUUAAAGCGGUACGCGAGCUGGGUUCAGAACGUCGUGAGACAGUUCGGUCCCUAUCUUCCGUGGGCGUAGGAAAGUUGAGAAGAUUUGUCCCUAGUACGAGAGGACCGGGAUGAACGUACCACUGGUGUACCAAUUGUUCUGCCAAGAGCAUCGUUGGGUAGCUACGUACGGAUGAGAUAAGAGCUGAAAGCAUCUAAGCUCGAAGCCAACUUCAAGAUGAACUUUCCCUGAAGAUCCCAGUAAGACUAACUGGUUGAUAGGCUAGAUGUGUAAGCAUAGAGAUAUGUUUAGCUGACUAGUACUAAUAGAUCGUUCGGCUUAUUAUU
rnacentral:rRNA from 2 species